UACAGAGGGGGCAAGCGUUGUUCGGAAUUACUGGGCGUAAAGGGCGCGUAGGCGCCUUCUAAGUCGAACGUGAAAUCCCUGGGCUCAACCCAGGAACUGCGUCCGAUACUGGAAGGCUUGAAUCCGGGAGAGGGAUGCGGAAUUCCAGGUGUAGCGGUGAAAUGCGUAGAUAUCUGGAGGAACACCGGUGGCGAAGGCGGCAUCCUGGAC
rnacentral:rRNA from 1 species